GACGAAGGGGGCUAGCGUUGUUCGGAAUUACUGGGCGUAAAGCGAGUGUAGGUGGUUGUCCAAGUUGGAUGUGAAAGCCUUGAGCUCAACUCAAGAAAUGCAUUCAGGACUGGGCGGCUAGAGGACCGGAGAGGAUAGUGGAAUUCCCAGUGUAGUGGUGAAAUACGUAGAAAUUGGGAAGAACACCAGUGGCGAAGGCGGCUAUCUGGACGGUUUCUGACACUAAGACUCGAAAGCGUGGGGAGCAAACAGG
rnacentral:rRNA from 1 species